UUAGAGUUUGAUCCUGGCUCAGGAUGAACGCUAGCUACAGGCUUAACACAUGCAAGUCGAGGGGCAGCGGGAUUGAAGCUUGCUUCAAUUGCCGGCGACCGGCGCACGGGUGAGUAACGCGUAUCCAACCUUCCGUACACUCAGGGAUAGCCUUUCGAAAGAAAGAUUAAUACCUGAUGGUAUGAUGAGAUUGCAUGAUAGCAUCAUUAAAGAUUUAUCGGUGUACGAUGGGGAUGCGUUCCAUUAGGUAGUAGGCGGGGUAACGGCCCACCUAGCCAACGAUGGAUAGGGGUUCUGAGAGGAAGGUCCCCCACAUUGGAACUGAGACACGGUCCAAACUCCUACGGGAGGCAGCAGUGAGGAAUAUUGGUCAAUGGACGAGAGUCUGAACCAGCCAAGUAGCGUGAAGGAUGAAGGUCCUACGGAUUGUAAACUUCUUUUAUAAGGGAAUAAACCCUCCCACGUGUGGGAGCUUGUAUGUACCUUAUGAAUAAGCAUCGGCUAACUCCGUGCCAGCAGCCGCGGUAAUACGGAGGAUGCGAGCGUUAUCCGGAUUUAUUGGGUUUAAAGGGAGCGCAGACGGGUCGUUAAGUCAGCUGUGAAAGUUUGGGGCUCAACCUUAAAAUUGCAGUUGAUACUGGCGUCCUUGAGUGCGGUUGAGGUGUGCGGAAUUCGUGGUGUAGCGGUGAAAUGCUUAGAUAUCACGAAGAACUCCGAUUGCGAAGGCAGCACACUAAUCCGUAACUGACGUUCAUGCUCGAAAGUGUGGGUAUCAAACAGGAUUAGAUACCCUGGUAGUCCACACGGUAAACGAUGGAUACUCGCUGUUGGCGAUAUACUGUCAGCGGCUUAGCGAAAGCGUUAAGUAUCCCACCUGGGGAGUACGCCGGCAACGGUGAA
rnacentral:rRNA from 1 species